rnacentral:rRNA from 1 species
UGCAGUCGAGCGGAACGACACUAACAAUCCUUCGGGUGCGUUAAUGGGCGUCGAGCGGCGGACGGGUGAGUAAUGCCUAGGAAAUUGCCUUGAUGUGGGGGAUAACCAUUGGAAACGAUGGCUAAUACCGCAUAAUGCCUACGGGCCAAAGAGGGGGACCUUCGGGCCUCUCGCGUCAAGAUAUGCCUAGGUGGGAUUAGCUAGUUGGUGAGGUAAUGGCUCACCAAGGCGACGAUCCCUAGCUGGUCUGAGAGGAUGAUCAGCCACACUGGAACUGAGACACGGUCCAGACUCCUACGGGAGGCAGCAGUGGGGAAUAUUGCACAAUGGGCGAAAGCCUGAUGCAGCCAUGCCGCGUGUAUGAAGAAGGCCUUCGGGUUGUAAAGUACUUUCAGUUGUGAGGAAGGGGGUAGCGUUAAUAGCGCUAUCUCUUGACGUUAGCAACAGAAGAAGCACCGGCUAACUCCGUGCCAGCAGCCGCGGUAAUACGGAGGGUGCGAGCGUUAAUCGGAAUUACUGGGCGUAAACGCAUGCAGGUGGUUCAUUAAGUCAGAUGUGAAAGCCCGGGGCUCAACCUCGGAACUGCAUUUGAAACUGGUGAACUAGAGUACUGUA